rnacentral:lncRNA from 1 species
AUGAACAUGCUACAGGGAUACCUCACCUGGGAUAACUCUCAGACAGCCAAUUUUCCAAUGAUGCAACACAAAGCUGCAGGAGAAGAGCUAAGGCCAAGGUUCAACCAGCAUUGCAUCUGCUUGGAGAACAGAAAGCUGUGUCAGAAUUUUCCAUAUGCCCAAACAGCUCUGUACUUGGUACAAAGCCUUCAUCCACUGAGAUAAAAAUCAAAUACAUUUUGAAAAGACUGUCUACGUGCGUGGGGGCAGAAUAAUAUUUUGACAGAGGAAAUGUCUAUGUUUCUCUGCUUCAUGCUCUGCCAAAGUCACUCACCAAGGUAUGGGGGGGGGGAGGGGGGGCGGGGGGAAGGGCAGGCCUUUGGAUUUAUACACUGUUUGGCUAUGAUUCUUCCUGACUUGAGAAGGUUCUUUGGGAAGUAUUGGCUUCAACGAACACAUGUAUUGUCUAUGUUUCUCUUUGGUUAAUCAAUUUGAUUGGUGCUCUUACAAAUGUGGAAAGCCUUAUUUUUUAAGAGAUAAUGCUUGACAACCUGUCCAAUGCUCACCUCUUUAAUCUCCUAUUCUGGGCUAUAGUCACUGCUUGAGUGUUCUACAAUGAGUAGACUGCAGUGCAGGAUGCUCUUUAGGUGACAGCAGAUGUCUCCUCCAGUCCAGGAUCUAGUCAGAAGGUGUAAAGGUAUUAUCCAGUCUACCAGUCCAGUCUAAAUAAUGUCAUCAUGGGAUGGCUCACAUUCUACAUAAGAUCUGUUGAUAAGAUUGAUUUUCAUGUUGUUGUUCUGCUCUUAGACAGUUAAAAGUAUGGUUUUGGCCAUUUGUUCCUUGGUCUCAAACCUGAGGUGCCCCAGGGUGGUAGCUCACUAGUUGUCCUGACAUAUUACCGGAUCUGUGUGGCCAAACUGCUGGACUUUAAAUACCUUACUCAAAAACUCAGCUGCUCAGCUUGCAGUCCCACCCUACACAAAACCUCUCUCUGUCCCCAUUUGACCUAGAACAUUAGAGAGGAUGAGAGGGUUUGUCAGAUGCCUCAC